AAACAAGUUCUGAUACACCAAACCCGCCCAAUGAUGAAGAAAGUAACGUAGAACAACCAGAGGAUCCGGGGUCGGAAAAUACCACCAAUAAUGAGGGCAGUUCUGAAUCGAAUACAUCUGAAUGCUGAGACUUCAAAAAUAAGAACAAAGGUCACACCAGACUAUUUUACUGUGAUUCGCAUUGCUAAAUAAUGUCUUAACUGUGUGCAUUAUUUUCAAAUAUUCUGUGAAAUGGAAAAUAUAAGUUCUGGUUAAUUUUUUAAUUUAUCAACUAUACAAAACAAUUAGUUUAUUUUUAGAUU